rnacentral:rRNA from 1 species
AACGAACGCUGGCGGCAGGCCUAACACAUGCAAGUCGAGCGAAGCCUUCGGGCUUAGCGGCGGACGGGUGAGUAACGCGUGGGAACGUGCCCUUUGGUACGGAAUAGCCCCGGGAAACUGGGAGUAAUACCGUAUGUGGUCGAGAGACAAAAGAUUUAUCGCCAAAGGAUCGGCCCGCGUUGGAUUAGGUAGUUGGUGGGGUAAUGGCCUACCAAGCCGACGAUCCAUAGCUGGUUUGAGAGGAUGAUCAGCCACACUGGGACUGAGACACGGCCCAGACUCCUACGGGUGGCAGCAGUGGGGAAUUUUAGACAAUGGGGGAAACCCUGAUCUAGCCAUGCCGCGUGAUCGAUGAAGGCCUUAGGGUUGUAAAGAUCUUUCAGUAGGGAAGAUAAUGACUGUACCCACAGAAGAAGCCCCGGCUAACUCCGUGCCAGCCGCCGCCGUAAAAC